UACGUAGGGGUCGAGCGUUGUCCGGAGUUACUGGGCGUAAAGCGUGUGCAGGCGGCUCAUUGCGCCCGGCGUGAAAGCCCCCGGCUCAACCGGGGAGAGUCGUCGGGGACGGGUGAGCUUGAGGGUAUCAGGGGCUGGUGGAAUUCCCGGUGUAGUGGUGAAAUGCGUAGAUAUCGGGAGGAACACCCGUGGCGAAGGCGGCUCACUGGUCCGGUACUGACGCUGAGGUGCGAAAGCGUGGGGAGCAAACAGG
rnacentral:rRNA from 1 species